UACGUAGGGGGCGAGCGUUGUCCGGAUUUAUUGGGCGUAAAGAGCGUGUAGGCGGCCAGGUAGGUCCGUUGUGAAAACUCGAGGCUCAACCUCGAGACGUCGGCGGAAACCCUCUGGCUAGAGUCCGGAAGAGGAGAGUGGAAUUCCUGGUGUAGCGGUGAAAUGCGCAGAUAUCAGGAAGAACACCCGUGGCGAAGGCGGCUCUCUGGGACGGUACUGACGCUGAGACGCGAAAGCGUGGGGAGCAAACAGG
rnacentral:rRNA from 1 species